GAUCUACCUGACCCAGAGAUUGAACCCACGUCUCUUACAUCUCCUGCAUUGGCAGCACCUUUGUCCCUAUUCCAACACAGUCAUCAAUGAUCCAUACAUUUCUUGGGAAAGAAAGAACCACAGUUUCUAGAACUUCAGAGGAUCAGAGGAGACCAACCUAUUUCAAGGCUUUGGCAGUCUGGAAUUCCCACUGGAAGAGAGGAACAAUGGAGGAAAAUGUAACAGCCUAGAAUCAGAACCUCAGCGUGACUUCUGGCCCCAGUUCUGAUUUACUCUGUUGACUGAACGAAUUACCAAGACUUUGGGGGCCUCAGGUGAAUGUAUUCACUACAUAGUAAAUGUAUGAUGCUAAAUAAUCUAAGCUUAUUGCAUUCACCGAUUCAUCCAUUUAAUAUUUAUAAAGUACUUGAUUCUGCACUGUGCAGAAUACAAGACAUUUCUAUUAUAUAAGAUCUAGGCACAGGCACACACUGACUCCAUUACUCAGAAUGUGAUAGGAGCUGCAAAUAAAGAUACAAAAUGGUGAGGGGCUGUAGCUGUUCUAUUGUGGGUCUCUAAGCUACUUCUCUUGCCUAGAAAAUCCCAUGGACAGAGGAGCCUGGUGGGCUGCAGUCCAUGGAGUCGCAAAGAGUCAGACAUGACUAAGCUACUUCACUUUCACUUU